rfam:Corchorus olitorius cultivar O-4 contig14810, whole genome shotgun sequence.
AAGCCAUGAGGAUAUUUGCGCCCCUGUGAUGGUAGGGUCUAUCACAACCGUCUGAUCUUCAGACGACAACAAGCGCAUCUGAGCUU